GAACCUGCGGCUUAAUUUGACUCAACACGGG
rnacentral:rRNA from 1 species